rnacentral:rRNA from 1 species
CCUACGGGUGUCUGCAGUGAGGAAUAUUUGUCAAUGGACGAGAGUCUGAACCAGCCAAGUCGCGUGAAGGAUGACUGCCCUAUGGGUUGUAAACUUCUUUUAUAUGGGAAUAAAAUGUUCCACGUGUGGGAUUUUGUAUGUACCAUAUGAAUAAGGAUCGGCUAACUCCGUGCCAGCAGCCGCGGUAAUACGGAGGAUCCGAGCGUUUUCCGGAUUUAUUGGGUUUAAAGGGAGCGUAGGUGGAUUGUUAAGUCAGUUGUGAAAGUUUCGGGGUCAACCGUAAGAUUGCAGUUGAAACUGGCAGUCUUGAGUACAGGAGAGGUAGGCGGAAUUCGUGGUGUAGCGGUGAAAUGCUUAGAUAUCACGAAGAACCCCGAUUGCGAAGGCAGCUUACUAAACUGUGACUGACACUGAGGCACGAAAGUGUGGGGAGCAAACAGGAUUAGAUACCCGAGUAGUC